CAUUCGGUUUUCCGAAGAGAGAUGUGAACUUUAAGGCCUCUGCAGUUGACCGCCAAAGUGAUGUGGUUGUAGCUGGUGGUGAGGUUUCCUUUUAACGAUGUUUAUGGGUUGUGUUGAGUCUUGAUUGUGUUGGAUAAAUGUUGACUCUUGUAUGUUUAUCCUAAGGUGGAGCAAGUGAAGAUGCUGUGGCUACCUACCCCGCCAGCACUAAUCACACAACCAGACAACUUCUGCACAAACUGAAGUUACUGGUAGGGUGUUUCUUUUUAGUUUUUGUGUGGUUUUCUGCAAGUUUGGUUUUUGUAUAAAAUGUGUGUCCCUUGGCUUCUCUCUGGCCCCCUCACUCAUGUGGAAUCCCAAGAUGGGGCCAGUGAAGAUGCUGUGGACCGCCAAAGUGAUGAUGUGGUUUCCACCACAACACCCAAUCCCCACAACCAGACCACAUCUGCCCCUACUGAAGCUGGUGGAGGUUUUUUUUAUUUAUUUAUUUUUUUACGAUAUUAUGGGUUCUGUUGAGUCUUGAUUGUGUUGGUUAAAUGUUCACUUUUGUAUGGUUAUCCUAAGAUGGAGCAAGUGAAGAUGAUGAUGAUGAUGAUGAUGCAAGUGAAGAUGAUUCAGCAAGUGAAGAUGCUGUGGCUACCACCCCAACACCAAAUCCCCCAACUACAUCUGACCACACUGCAGCUACCGGUAAGGACAUCAGUGCAUGUCUGUUUUGAUGGAACACUUUGAAUGUUUGCGCCUCCCUUUUGACUGUGUCCCUUUCUAUUUGUGCGUAAUCGCAAGAUGAUGCAAGUGAGGGUGCUGUGGCUGCCCACACUGGAACUACUGUAUCCCAUACGACUGAAGUCUGAUUCGACUGCUCCUCUGGUCACAAUGACCUGUCUGGACUUUUUGCCUCUACAUGUUGACUGCAAUAAAGGACAGAUUUGUAUUAAUCAAAUGUUGUCUUGCCUUUUUCAAAUUGAGGCCUUGUCCUGUUUUGGUAGUGGAGAUGACUAUGAAGCCUCUUUCCUAACGUAUUUCCUGUAGUGGUUUUACUAUAUGCUUCAUUGUGUUAACUGGUGUCUCUUGGCAAUACAGUUUACAAUGUUGUGCUGUGAAAGCUUUUCAUGGGGUCUUUAGUCCCAGAGCAGCAGGGACCAAGUGCAUAUCCAGGAUGGGUAGUGGGAAUCUCUCGU
rnacentral:lncRNA from 1 species